rnacentral:rRNA from 1 species
GACGAACGCUGGCGGCGUGCCUAACACAUGCAAGUCGAACGGUGACGCUCCAGCUUGCUGGAGUGGAUCAGUGGCGAACGGGUGAGUAACACGUGAGCAACCUGCCCCUGACUUUCGAAUAAGCGCUGGAAACGGCGUCUACUACAGGAUACGAUACGGGUCCCCAUGGGCACCUUCUGGUAAGUUUUUCGGUUGGGGAUGGUCUGGCGGACUACCAGAUUGUUGGUGAGGUAAUGGUUCACCAAGGCGACGACGGGUAGCCGGCCUGGGAGCGCGGACGGCGACCAGAGUACUGAGACAGGCCCCAGUCUGCUACGGGAGGCAGCAGGGGGGAGUAUUGCACAGUGGGCGAGAGCGUGAUGCGGCGGCGCCGGGGGAGUGAUGACGGCCUUCGGGGUGAAAACCUCUGUCAGCAGGUAAGAAGCGAAAGUGACGGUACCUGCAGAAGAAGCACCGGCUAACUACGUG